UAUUAGAGGCACUGCCUGCCCAGUGACACACGUUUAACGGCCGCGGUACCCUGACCGUGCAAAGGUAGCAUAAUCACUUGUUCUUUAAAUGGGGACUCGCAUGAAAGGCACCACGAGGGUUUAACUGUCUCUUACUUUUAACCAGUGAAAUUGACCUGCCCGCGAAGAGGCGGGCAUAAAAUAAUAAGACGAGAAGACCCUAUGGAGCUUUAAUCUAUUAAUGCAAUCAAAAAUUACACAAACCCGCGGACCUUUAAACUACCGACACCUGCAUUAAAAAUUUUGGUUGGGGCGACCUCGGAGCACAACAAAACCUCCGAAUAAUACAUGCUAAGACCACACAAGUCAAAGCGAACUAACACUUACAAUUGAUCCAAUAAUUUGAUCAACGGAACAAGUUACCCUAGGGAUAACAGCGCAAUUCUAUUCUAGAGUCCAUAUCGACAAUAGAGCUUACGACCUCGAUGUUGGAUCAGGACAUCCUAAUGGUGCAGCAGCUAUCAAGGGUUCGUUUGUUCAACGAUUAAAGUCCUACGUGAUCUGAGUCCCAGACCGGA
rnacentral:rRNA from 1 species